rnacentral:misc_RNA from 1 species
AUGUCGGAAAUAUAUCAAACAUUUUUCGCGUUUUAUACUUUUCUUUUCUCUCCACUGGUUAUUUUACUAUUAAUAUGUUUGUACCUAUAUCGCUGUAUCAUAGAGAUCAUUUUAAGGAUUCAAUUAAAGGAUAAAUUUGUGGGUCUCCUUGAUGGGAUGGACUGCAUUUGGGCAGUAGAACAAUCAUCGGCACUUUCUGUGAAUAAUAUCCUUAUGAUUUUAGAAAAAGAUGCUCGUCACUCGAACAUCAACUUCUUGGAGAAUUUUCGUGAUUUGGUGAAGAAUCGUAUAGUAUGUUCGUCUUUUGAAAAGCUAUUGUAUAAAAGAAAAAGAAAAUUUGGCUAUUACUUCUGGGAGAGAAGUGAAGAGAUCGAUCUGAGAGAACGUAUAAGAUGGUUGGAAUACGAACGCACGAAUUGCGACGGAUCCUGUGAUAAUAUUUACAAUAGUCAUCUGAAAAAAGUUCUAUGGAAUAUUUGUAAUCAGCCUUUACCGGAGAAUCACACAGCAUCCUGGGAGAUCUUAAUUGGAAAAUGUUGCCCCAGAUUAAGUCAUCAUUAUCUUCGACGAAUGGAGGAACGUUUGACGAAUAAAAUUAAGAUUCCCAUUUUAUUUCGUGUCCAUCAUUCUUUAGGCGAUGGUAUGGCUCUUCUAAAGUUCUUUAGAGAUGUUAUUAUUGAUAAAGAACCAGUUUCGGAAAUAUUCUUGCAGUUGGAUAACAGUUUGAAAAUGAAGAACGAGAAAACAAAAAAGCAGAAUGUAAUAGUAUCUUUGAUGAAUCCUGCGAAUGGAGAGAAUAAUUUGGACAGUAAUUCAUUUCAAAAGAAAAUCAUGUCGGCAUCGAUGCCAUUUAUUCAUUUUACGAUGUUUUCAUAUUUUUUUCUAUUAUUAUGGGAACAUUUUAAUAUAUGGUUGAAAUAUUUACAAAAUAUUACUUUAGAAGACUUGAAAUGCGAAAUGAAAAUGUUUCUAAGAAUAGAACAAGAUAAAUUAAAAGUUUUCUUCUCGGAAAUGAUUUGUAAAAAGAUACAGAAAGGUUUAAAAAUGGCAAAAAUUAUUAUAAAUCUUCCUGGUUGCCUGAUUCAACAAGCUUUUCGUAGCAUGGACAAAAGCGCACUCCAUGGAGCAGAAUUAUCAGGUGAAAAGUUUGUUUCUUACUGGCUUGAAGACGAUUUCAAAAAUGCCUGCAAUCAAAAAUUGUUUACAAAAAUACAGAAUAUAAGAAGUAUCACUGGUGCUAGAUUUGGAGAUGUAUUAUUAGCUGCUUUAUCAGUCAGUUUACAUAAAUAUUUCCUUAAUAUAAACGAAUUCGUUCCAACAAAAUUAAGCGUUGUUUUGCCGAUGAAAAUCGAAGAAUGGAGUGAGAACUUCCCCUUGAAAAAUAAUAUUUCAGUUGGUAUACUGCCCCUCUGCAUUUCACAGAUAAAGGGUAAACAGCUUGCAGAUCCACGAGAGAAUUCUCAAAUUCUAGAACGCCUUGAAGAUAUUAGAAAAGCGAAUGAUGUGCUUAGAAAAAGUCCAGAUUACACGGUGAAUUUCUUAGUAAUGAAGUAUCUCUCAGCUAUGCUACCCGACAAAUUUUUACGACCAAUCUUAAAAAGUCAUAGUACUAUGGUGUUUAGCAAUUUAGUUGGUCCUCAAGAAGUGAAACUUUUGGGACAUCCUUUAAAAAAUAUUGUUUUUUGGAUACCAAACAGAAGUUAUACAGGAAUUGGAUGUUCGUUAUUAACAUAUCGAGGUUAUUUGCAUUUAUCUUUGAUUGCCGAUAAAGCUUUAGUACAAAGCGAAAAGGCUCUUACCAAAAUUUUAGAAAACACGGUAAAUGAAAUCGACAAUCUUUAUGACAGAUUAACUUUGUCAUUUUUUUCGAAGAAACUUCAUAGAAGUAUAUCAACACCUACGAAGAAAGAAAUAGAUAAGGCCAAAAAACAAUAUCAAAAAGAGUGUUAAAAAAGGAAAAACUUGUUCGUCGACGAUGAGAAAUUUUCGGAGUUGUGUGUAUUAUCGAACUUGCUUUAAUACGCUGAUUCAGAAUAUUCUUCGAUUUAUAUCGAAUUUUUCUUCCUUUUUUACUGCAAUCAGAUGAAACAUCCAUAUCUUCGUUUCAAGUAAAUAUUAUCUCAACCAUUUUUUCUUUCUAAUUUCUUCCGGAGAUGAACUCUUUAAAUCGCUGUCAUCUUCUUGUCGAAUGCUCAAAGGCAGAGUUUGUUCGGUACAUGAUCUACAAGGACAGUUUAGUUUCAAACUUCGUAAGAUCGUUAAAACACGGGGAUCAUCGAUGCUGCUAAAAAGAGGGGAUUCGUCGGUCGACGUCAUUCCAUGACAUUCUUCAUCCGCCUCUAACGUCGAAGUCUCAUCUUUGUUCCAAACUAUUCUGAAUAAAAUGCAAUGCUCCUGAAUACAUUAAUGUAUCUUUUUUCAAAUAGAUUUCUACGUUUAUCACGCGUACUUUGUUUCUUUUGGUAUUUCGCAAUCAAAACGAACCACAUCUUUUUUACUUUCUUCUUUACAGCAUCCUUUUUUCAUCUCGUUGUCCGUGAUCUCAAUACUUUAAA